CACGUAGGGGGCGAGCGUUGUCCGGAUUCAUUGGGCGGAAAGGGCGCGCAGGCGGCCCGGAAAGUCGGAUGUGAAAACUCGAGGCUCAACCUCGAGCGUGCACCCGAUACUGCCGGGCUUGAGGCAGGUAGGGGAGAUCGGAAUUCCUGGUGUAGCGGUGAAAUGCGCAGAUAUCAGGAGGAACACCGGUGGCGAAGGCGGGUCUCUGGGCCGUAACUGACGCUGAGGAGCGAAAGCGUGGGGAGCGAACAGG
rnacentral:rRNA from 1 species